UACGAAGGGGGCUAGCGUUGUUCGGAAUUACUGGGCGUAAAGCGCGUGUAGGCGGGUCUUUAAGUCAGGGGUGAAAUGCCAAGGCUCAACCUUGGAACUGCCUUUGAUACUGGGGACCUUGAGUCCGGGAGAGGUGAGUGGAAUUGCGAGUGUAGAGGUGAAAUGCGCAGAUAUCAGGAAGAACACCCGUGGCGAAGGCGGCUCUCUGGGACGGUACUGACGCUGAGACGCGAAAGCGUGGGGAGCGAACAGG
rnacentral:rRNA from 1 species